rnacentral:lncRNA from 1 species
CAAACUUUAAUUGAUUAAUUGAUUAAUCCCAAAAUGACAUCUGAGAGCUGAGCCUGUGCCCAGCUGGGAUUUUGGGAACUUCUCUAGGAUAAAAAAAGGAUAAAAUAAUAGGAGGAAAUGAACAAUUCCCGUUUUCCCCUCCCAGGUGCAGCUCUGGCGGCGCCGUGGAUGCUCCAAAUGCAAAUUUAGCGUAAGGAAAUCUCCAGGGGAUUAAAUUUUCAGGCUGGGCCGGCUCUCCCUGAAGCUCCCGAAGCUCCUGAGGCUCCUGAGGUUCUCCCAAAGCUCCCCCAAAACUCCUGAGGUUCUCCUGAGGUUCUCCCAAAGCUCCCGAGGUUCUCCUGAGGUUCCCCGAAAGCUCCCGAGGUUCUCCUGGGGUUCCCGAGGUUCUCCUGGGGUUCCCAAGGUUCCCCUGAGGUUCUCCUGAGGUUCCCGAGGCUCUCCAAAGCUCCUGAGGUUCUCCUGAGGUUCCCGAGGCUCUCCUGAGGUUCCCGAGGCUCUCCAAAGCUCCUGAGGUUCUUCUGGGGUUCCCGAGGUUCUCCUGAGGUUCCCGAGGCUCUCCUGAGGUUCCUGAGGCUCUCCAAAGCUCCUGAGGUUCUCCUGGGGUUCCCGAGGUUCUCCUGAGGUUCCCCUGAAGCUCCCGAGGUUCUCCCGAGGUUCUCCCGAGGUUCUCCCGAGGUUCUCCUGAGGUUCUCCCUAGGUUCCCGAAGCUCCAGAGGUUCCCAAAGUUCCCCCAAAGCUCCCCCAAAACUCCCAAGGUUCUCCCAAAGCUCCCCUGAGGCUCCCAAGGUGCUCCCGAGGUUCUCCUGAGGUUCCCCCAAGGCUCCCCUGAAGCUCCCAGGGCUCUCCCGAGGUUCCAGAGGUUCCCCCGAGGUACUCCCAAGGCUCCCCCAAAGCUCCCGAGGUUCCUGAGGCUCCCCCAAGGUUCCCCCGAGGUUUUCCUUAGGUUCCCCUGAGGUUCCCAAGGUUCUCGAGGUUCUGGAGGUUCUAGAGGUUCCGGAGGUUCU